rnacentral:rRNA from 1 species
UGGCGGACGGGUGAGUAACGCGUAGGGAUCUAUCCUUGGAUGGGGGACAACGGCUGGAAACGGCUGCUAAUACCGCAUGAUAACUGAGGUUUAAAGCUCGCGAGAGCGUCUGGGGAGGAGCCUGCGUACGAUUAGCUUGUUGGUGGGGUAAAGGCCUACCAAGGCUGUGAUCGUUAGCUGGUCUGAGAGGAUGAUCAGCCACAUUGGGACUGAGACACGGCCCAA